GACGUAGGGCGCGAGCGUUGUCCGGAUUUAUUGGGCGUAAAGAGCUCGUAGGCGGCUUGUCGCGUCGUCCGUGAAAACCUGGGGCUCAACCCCAGGCUUGCGGUCGAUACGGGCAGGCUCGAGUUCGGUAGGGGAGACUGGAAUUCCUGGUGUAGCGGUGAAAUGCGCAGAUAUCAGGAGGAACACCGGUGGCGAAGGCGGGUCUCUGGGCCGAUACUGACGCUGAGGAGCGAAAGCAUGGGGAGCGAACAGG
rnacentral:rRNA from 1 species